rnacentral:rRNA from 1 species
GACGAACGCUGGCGGCGUGCUUAACACAUGCAAGUCGAACGGAAAGGCCCUGCUUUUGUGGGGUGCUCGAGUGGCGAACGGGUGAGUAACACGUGAGUAACCUGCCCUUGACUUUGGGAUAACUUCAGGAAACUGGGGCUAAUACCGGAUAGGAGCUCCUGCUGCAUGGUGGGGGUUGGAAAGUUUCGGCGGUUGGGGAUGGACUCGCGGCUUAUCAGCUUGUUGGUGGGGUAGUGGCUUACCAAGGCUUUGACGGGUAGCCGGCCUGAGAGGGUGACCGGCCACAUUGGGACUGAGAUACGGCCCAGACUCCUACGGGAGGCAGAAGUGGGGAAUAUUGCACAACGGGCGGAAGCCUGAUGCAGCGACGCCGCGUGCGGGAUGACGGCCUUCGGGUUAUAAACCGCUUUCGCCUGUGACGAAGCGUGAGUGACGGUAAUGGGUAAAGAAGCACCGGCUAACUACGUG